rnacentral:rRNA from 1 species
AGAGUUUGAUCCUGGCUCAGAUUGAACGCUGGCGGCAUGCCUUACACAUGCAAGUCGAACGGCAGCACGAGAGCUUGCUCUUGGUGGCGAGUGGCGAACGGGUGAGUAAUAUAUCGGAACGUACCCUAGAGUGGGGGAUAACGUAGCGAAAGUUACGCUAAUACCGCAUACGAUCUACGGAUGAAAGUGGGGGAUCGCAAGACCUCAUGCUCAUGGAGCGGCCGAUAUCUGAUUAGCUAGUUGGUGGGGUAAAAGCUCACCAAGGCGACGAUCAGUAGCUGGUCUGAGAGGACGACCAGCCACACUGGAACUGAGACACGGUCCAGACUCCUACGGGAGGCAGCAAUGGGGAAUUUUGGACAAUGGGCGCAAGCCUGAUCCAGCAAUGCCGCGUGAGUGAAGAAGGCCUUCGGGUUGUAAAGCUCUUUUGUCAGGGAAGAAACGGUGGACUCUAAUACAGAUCACUAAUGACGGUACCUGAAGAAUAAGCACCGGCUAACUACGUGCCAGCAGCCGCGGUAAUACGUAGGGUGCAAGCGUUAAUCGGAAUUACUGGGCGUAAAGCGUGCGCAGGCGGUUGUGCAAGACAGAUGUGAAAUCCCCGGGCUCAACCUGGGAAUUGCAUUUGUGACUGCACGGCUAGAGUGUGUCAGAGGGGGGUAGAAUUCCACGUGUAGCAGUGAAAUGCGUAGAGAUGUGGAGGAAUACCGAUGGCGAAGGCAGCCCCCUGGGAUAACACUGACGCUCAUGCACGAAAGCGUGGGGAGCAAACAGGAUUAGAUACCCUGGUAGUCCACGCCCUAAACGAUGUCUACUAGUUGUCGGGUCUUAAUUGACUUGGUAACGCAGCUAACGCGUGAAGUAGACCGCCUGGGGAGUACGGUCGCAAGAUUAAAACUCAAAGGAAUUGACGGGGACCCGCACAAGCGGUGGAUGAUGUGGAUUAAUUCGAUGCAACGCGAAAAACCUUACCUACCCUUGACAUGUCUGGAAUCCUUGAGAGAUCAGGGAGUGCUCGAAAGAGAAUCAGAACACAGGUGCUGCAUGGCUGUCGUCAGCUCGUGUCGUGAGAUGUUGGGUUAAGUCCCGCAACGAGCGCAACCCUUGUCAUUAGUUGCUACGAAAGGGCACUCUAAUGAGACUGCCGGUGACAAACCGGAGGAAGGUGGGGAUGACGUCAAGUCCUCAUGGCCCUUAUGGGUAGGGCUUCACACGUCAUACAAUGGUACAUACAGAGGGCCGCCAACCCGCGAGGGGGAGCUAAUCCCAGAAAGUGUAUCGUAGUCCGGAUUGUAGUCUGCAACUCGACUACAUGAAGUUGGAAUCGCUAGUAAUCGCGGAUCAGCAUGUCGCGGUGAAUACGUUCCCGGGUCUUGUACACACCGCCCGUCACACCAUGGGAGCGGGUUUCACCAGAAGUGGGUAGCCUAACCGCAAGGAGGGCGCUCACCACGGUGGGAUUCGUGACUGGGGUGAAGUCGUAACAAGGUA